rnacentral:rRNA from 1 species
AACAGGAUUAGAUACCCUGGUAGUCCACGCCGUGAACGAUGUCGACUUGGAGGUUGUUCCCUUGAGGAGUGGCUUCCGGAGCUAACGCGUUAAGUCGACCGCCUGGGGAGUACGGCCGCAAGGUUAAAACUCAAAUGAAUUGACGGGGGCCCGCACAAGCGGUGGAGCAUGUGGUUUAAUUCGAUGCAACGCGAAGAACCCUACCUACUCUUGACAUCCACGGAAUUGGGCAGAGAUGCCUUAGUGCCUUCGGGAACCGUGAGACAGGUGCUGCAUGGCUGUCGUCAGCUCGUGUUGUGAAAUGUUGGGUUAAGUCCCGCAACGAGCGCAACCCUUAUCCUUUGUUGCCAGCGAUUCGGUCGGGAACUCAAAGGAGACUGCCGGUGAUAAACCGGAGGAAGGUGGGGAUGACGUCAAGUCAUCAUGGCCCUUACGAGUAGGGCUACACACGUGCUACAAUGGCGCAUACAAAGAGAAGCGACCUCGCGAGAGCAAGCGGACCUCAUAAAGUGCGUCGUAGUCCGGAUCGGAGUCUGCAACUCGACUCCGUGAAGUCGGAAUCGCUAGUAAUCGUGGAUCAGAAUGCCACGGUGAAUACGUUCCCGGGCCUUGUACACACCGCCCGUCACACCAUGGGAGUGGGUUGCAAAAGAAGUAGGUAGCUUAACCUUCGGGAGGGCGCUUACCACUUUGUGAUUCAUGACUGGGGUGAAGUCGUAACAAGGUA